GGAAGCUUGCUUCCACUGAGAAGAUAGUGGCGGACGGGUGAGUAACACGUGGGUAACCUGCCCAUAAGAGGGGGAUAACAUCCGGAAACGGGUGCUAAUACCGCAUAGUUUUCUUGGUCGCAUGAUUGAGAAAGGAAAGACGGCCUUUGUGCUGUCGCUUAUGGAUGGACCCGCGGCGUAUUAGUUAGUUGGUGAGGUAACGGCUCACCAAGACGAUGAUACGUAGCCGACCUGAGAGGGUGAUCGGCCACAUUGGGACUGAGACACGGCCCAAACUCCUACGGGAGGCAGCAGUAGGGAAUCUUCCGCAAUGGACGAAAGUCUGACGGAGCAACGCCGCGUGAGUGAAGAAGGUUUUCGGAUCGUAAAACUCUGUUGUCAGAGAAGAACAAGUCGGAGAGUAACUGCUCCGGCCUUGACGGUAUCUGACCAGAAAGCCACGGCUAACUACGUGCCAGCAGCCGCGGUAAUACGUAGGUGGCAAGCGUUGUCCGGAUUUAUUGGGCGUAAAGCGAGCGCAGGCGGUUCCUUAAGUCUGAUGUGAAAGCCCACGGCUCAACCGUGGAAGGUCAUUGGAAACUGGGGAACUUGAGUGCAGAA
rnacentral:rRNA from 1 species